AGCUUUGCGCAGUGGCAGUAUCGUGGCCAAUAAGGUUUAUCUGAGGCACAGUUAUUGCUAAUUGAAGAAAAUAAUCAUGGCCAUCACACCCAUAAGUUUCCUCAUGGACUUAUAUAAUCUAUCUCUUCUCCCCUAACCCUAGGAA
rnacentral:snRNA from 1 species